rnacentral:rRNA from 1 species
GACGAACGCUGGCGGCGUGCCUAAUACAUGCAAGUCGAGCGGACCGACGGGAGCUUGCUCCCUUAGGUCAGCGGCGGACGGGUGAGUAACACGUGGGUAACCUGCCUGUAAGACUGGGAUAACUCCGGGAAACCGGGGCUAAUACCGGAUGCUUGAUUGAACCGCAUGGUUCCAAUCAUAAAAGGUGGCUUUUAGCUACCACUUACAGAUGGACCCGCGGCGCAUUAGCUAGUUGGUGAGGUAACGGCUCACCAAGGCGACGAUGCGUAGCCGACCUGAGAGGGUGAUCGGCCACACUGGGACUGAGACACGGCCCAGACUCCUACGGGAGGCAGCAGUAGGGAAUCUUCCGCAAUGGACGAAAGUCUGACGGAGCAACGCCGCGUGAGUGAUGAAGGUUUUCGGAUCGUAAAACUCUGUUGUUAGGGAAGAACAAGUACCGUUCGAAUAGGGCGGCACCUUGACGGUACCUAACCAGAAAGCCACGGCUAACUACGUGCCAGCAGCCGCGGUAAUACGUAGGUGGCAAGCGUUGUCCGGAAUUAUUGGGCGUAAAGCGCGCGCAGGCGGUUUCUUAAGUCUGAUGUGAAAGCCCCCGGCUCAACCGGGGAGGGUCAUUGGAAACUGGGGAACUUGAGUGCAGAAGAGGAGAGUGGAAUUCCACGUGUAGCGGUGAAAUGCGUAGAGAUGUGGAGGAACACCAGUGGCGAAGGCGACUCUCUGGU